CUCCACAUGGACUUUACCAUCUCGUUUCCUCGCCCAUUACAUUUGAGUUAUUAUUUUAAAGGCUAACUUAAAUAUUUCCAAAACAUGUUGUAGGUCUGUCCAUCAGUCUAAUAAACAAGUGCAAUUGUAGUAGCUUAUGACUGUCAAAUUUAUUUAGCACAUUUCUUAACAAUUGCAGCACCACCGCGGACAGCGCCACAACCCACGGACAGUGACCAGGACCAGGACCAGGACCUUGAUCCUCUGCAGCCCCAGGAAGAGGGUGAGGCCGCAGAUAGCCCUAGAGGCCCACAAGCUCAAGAACAUCGAGCUCCCCGGCGCGCCCAGUCGCCAGCCGUGAUACCUGUGGUGCCCCCCAGACGUCAUGCUGCUGAAGCGGGUGCUGCUGCUCCUGCUGCCGAAGCGGGUGCUGCUGCUC